GCUAAACGCGAAGAACCUUACCAGGUCUUGACAUCCCUCUGACCGGUCUAGAGAUAGGCCUUCCCUUCGGGGCAGAGGAGACAGGUGGUGCAUGGUUGUCGUCGGCUCGUGUCGUGAGAUGUUGGGUUAAGUCCCGCAACGAGCGCAACCCUUGAACUUAGUUGCCAGCACUUCGGGUGGGCACUCUAGGUUGACUGCCGGUGACAAACCGGAGGAAGGCGGGGAUGACGUCAAAUCAUCAUGCCCCUUAUGACCUGGGCUACACACGUACUACAAUGGCCGGUACAACGGGUCGCGAAGCCGCGAGGCGGAGCUAAUCCUACCAAAGCCGGUCUCAGUUCGGAUUGCAGGCUGCAACUCGCCUGCAUGAAGUCGGAAUUGCUAGUAAUCGCGGAUCAGCAUGCCGCGGUGAAUACGUUCCCGGGUCUUGUACACACCG
rnacentral:rRNA from 1 species